rnacentral:rRNA from 1 species
UACGAAGGGGGCUAGCGUUGCUCGGAAUGACUGGGCGUAAAGGGCGCGUAGGCGGCUUGCACAGUCAGGCGUGAAAUUCCUGGGCUCAACCUGGGGACUGCGUUUGAGACGUGUGGGCUUGAGUGGGGAAGAGGGUCGUGGAAUUCCCAGUGUAGAGGUGAAAUUCGUAGAUAUUGGGAAGAACACCGGUGGCGAAGGCGGCGACCUGGUCCUUGACUGACGCUGAGGCGCGAAAGCGUGGGGAGCAAACAGG